UGAAUNGUGGUGAAGUGGUUAACACACCAGAUUGUGGCUCUGGCAUGCGUGGGUUCGAUCCCCAUCACUCGCC
rnacentral:tRNA from 1 species